rnacentral:rRNA from 1 species
GAUGAACGCUGGCGGCGUGCCUAAUACAUGCAAGUCGAGCGAACAGACGAGGAGCUUGCUCCUUCGACGUUAGCGGCGGACGGGUGAGUAACACGUAGGUAACCUACCUAUAAGACUGGGAUAACUUCGGGAAACCGGAGCUAAUACCGGAUAAUAUUUCUAACCGCAUGGUUCGAUAGUGAAAGAUGGCUUUGCUAUCACUUAUAGAUGGACCUGCGCCGUAUUAGCUAGUUGGUAAGGUAACGGCUUACCAAGGCAACGAUACGUAGCCGACCUGAGAGGGUGAUAGGCCAAACUGGAACUGAGACACGGUCAAGACUCCUACGGGAGGCAGCAGUAGGGAAUCUUCCGCAAUGGGCGAAAGCCUGACGGAGCAACGCCGCGUGAGUGAUGAAGGUCUUCGGAUCGUAAAACUCUGUUAUGAGGGAAGAACAAACGUGUAAGUAACUGUGCACGUCUUGACGGUACCUAAUCAGAAAGCCACGGCUAACUACGUG